AAAUUGAAGAGUUUGAUCAUGGCUCAGAUUGAACGCUGGCGGCAGGCCUA
rnacentral:rRNA from 1 species